UACGUAGGGUGCAAGCGUUGUCCGGAAUUAUUGGGCGUAAGAGCUCGUAGGCGGUCUGUCGCGUCGGCUGUGAAAACCUUGGGGCUCAACCCCAAGCCUGCAGUCGAUACGGGCAGACUAGAGUGCGGUAGGGGAGGACUGGAAUUCCUGGUGUAGCGGUGAAAUGCGUAGAUAUCAGGAGGAACACCGGUGGCGAAGGCGGGUCUCUGGGCCGUAACUGACGCUGAGGAGCGAAAGCGUGGGGAGCGAACAGG
rnacentral:rRNA from 1 species